CCUACGGGUGGCAGCAGUGAGGAAUAUUGGUCAAUGGACGAGAGUCUGAACCAGCCAAGUAGCGUGAAGGAUGACUGCCCUAUGGGUUGUAAACUUCUUUUAUAAAGGAAUAAAACGAGGCACGUGUGCCUUUUUGCAUGUACUUUAUGAAUAAGGAUCGGCUAACUCCGUGCCAGCAGCCGCGGUAAUACGGAGGAUCCGAGCGUUAUCCGGAUUUAUUGGGUUUAAAGGGAGCGUAGAUGGGUUGUUAAGUCAGUUGUGAAAGUUUGCGGCUCAACCGUAAAAUUGCAAUUGAUACUGGCAGUCGUGAGUACAGUUGAGGUAGGCGGAAUUCGUGGUGUAGCGGUGAAAUGCUUAGAUAUCACGAAGAACCCCGAUUGCGAAGGCAGCUUACUAAACUGUGACUGACAUUGAUGCUCGAAAGUGUGGGUAUCAAACAGUAUUAGAUACCCCUGUAGUC
rnacentral:rRNA from 1 species